AAGAAUAUACAACUGGAAAAAUAAAUAAGUGCUACAUGACUUUCGUGAGAUAGGAAUAUCCCUUUAUGGUUUAACUCUACAUAAGUCAGAAGCUAUCUUUUAUGGCAUCGAGUUUGGACUCUUAAAAGGAUAAAUGUCCAUAAGUUGAAGAUAGCUGAAAUGACGAUAGUAACAUGGAUGUACAAUUCAACUAAAAUGGUAAGAUAAGUAAUAAGAAUAGUGGAAACAACACUAAUUUUGGAUCAAGGGAAGGACGAGUUAGAUGGUUUGGUGUAUCUUGGAUAGUCCUAAAGAGUGGUAAAAAAUGAUACAUAUAAUCAGUUGAAAAUUUAUCAGAAAUUAGG
rnacentral:lncRNA from 1 species